rnacentral:rRNA from 1 species
GAUGAACGCUGGCGGCGUGCCUAAUACAUGCAAGUCGAGCGAACAGACGAGGAGCUUGCUCCUCUGACGUUAGCGGCGGACGGGUGAGUAACACGUGGAUAACCUACCUAUAAGACUGGGAUAACUUCGGGAAACCGGAGCUAAUACCGGAUAAUAUAUUUAACCGCAUGGUUCAAUAGUGAAAGACGGUUUUGCUUUCACUUAUAGAUGGAUCCGCGCCGAAUUAGCUAGUUGGUAAGGUAACGGCUAACCAAGGCAACGUUCCGUAGCCGACCUGAGAGGUGGACCGCCAACACGGGAACUGAAACACGGUCCAGCCUCCUACGGGAGGAGCAGGAAGGGAACUUCCCGCAUGGGGCGAAGGCCGGACGGGGCAACGCGGGGUGAGUGAUGAAGGUCUUCGGAUCGUAAACCUCUGUUAUUAGGGAAGAACAAAUGUGUAAGUAACUAUGCACGUCUUGACGGUACCUAAUCAGAAAGCCACGGCUAACUACGUG